CAAUCGAUUAACUAUCAAAAGGAAGCUUUUAUUUUCACGUAAUUUAUCUCCGUAAAAUGAUGAUUGAUCUGAUAAAAGAACAUGUGAAAUUUGCCCAUACACGGCUUAUAUAAGAAGCACAUGAAGGAAGCUUUGUUAUCGAUAAGAGAACAACGUGAGAGCAACACAAGAAAGCAAGCAAAGACAACAAGUACUUUAGAAACAUCCAAUAUGGACUCAAAAGUUUGGGCCUGCGGACUCGCCAUAGCAACGUUUUAUGCAUGCGCUCUGCAGACGAGCGGUCACUCUACAAAGGAAAGGAAUCUACGCACAUGCUCAAUAAUAUAAGCUAUGCUAUAUGUCACUAUGGAGAUUCUCGUUGUCGCAAAGAUGAAGCAGAAAUCAAACACCCCGAAGAUCUACAAGGAGCAUCUAAAGAACAGCAAAAACAUCCCAAAGAAAAACUCUUAAACAACGAAAAACAAUUACGAAGAUUAGUGAAGAUCUUCCAUAGAUAUAUGUUAUGUAACAAGUCUAGGAAAACAAACAGGAAGCUAUCAAAAGCGCUGAAUUCGCUUACUAACAAACAGGACACUAGGUUUUUACAUGAUGUAGAGAUCCCUGUGGUAGGCCUAAAACACAAGAAUCAAAAGCGACGCUCUAUUUGUUCCCGGGGAAGAUGGGGAUGCCGCAGAACUGCAUACGAGGAGACUUUAUUCCCAGCGAUGAGAUUCAAGCGUGGUAUUUGGAGAUUAAGAAAAGGACAUAAAAUAGUUAAGGAAAAGGAAGGAAGUUCAGAUUACAAAUUUACAAGGAAGACGAUAAGAGAUUUCAUGAGAGAUAAUCGGGAGUGGAAAGUUGAGACGGGAAAGUUAUGGAUACGACGACAGAAUAACAGAUGCCCGGCUACCAAGCCUCAACAAGAGAACGAAGCAUUAUCAGGAUUAGGCGGUUUUAUUAAGUACAUCAUGGAGCACUUAGCAGCUAAACAGGCGCAAACACAGGGGGGUUCGCCGACACCAAGCGCACACUCCAUUGGCCGCCAAAAAGUGGGUCAUUCCUUAUUAAGGGAUCGGCAAACCAUUUCCUUGUUCCAUACGACACCUAUGACUGCGCACCCUCCCUCAGCCAAACCGAGUACGCGCCAACUGACGAUUCAAAA